ACAGAGGUGGCAAGCGUUGUUCGGAUUCAUUGGGUGUAAAGGGUCCGUAGGUGGUCUAGCAAGUCUGAUGUGAAAGCCCUGGGCUCAACCUGGGAAUGGCAUUGGAUACUGGCGACCUAGAGUGCGGUAGAGGGUGGCGGAAUUCCCGGUGCAGCAGUGAAAUGCGUAGAUAUCGGGAGGAACAUCCGUGGCGAAGGCGGCCACCUGGACCAGCACUGACACUGAGGCACGAAAGCGUGGGGAGCAAACAGGA
rnacentral:rRNA from 1 species